UACGUAGGGUGCAAGCGUUAAUCGGAAUUACUGGGCGUAAAGCGUGCGCAGGCGGUUUUGUAAGUUUGUCGUGAAAGCCCCGGGCUCAACCUGGGAAUUGCGAUGAAGACUGCAAGGCUUGAAUCUGGCAGAGGGGGGUAGAAUUCCACGUGUAGCAGUGAAAUGCGUAGAGAUGUGGAGGAACACCGAUGGCGAAGGCAGCCCCCUGGGUCAAUACUGACGCUCAUGCACGAAAGCGUGGGGAGCAAACAGG
rnacentral:rRNA from 1 species